rnacentral:misc_RNA from 1 species
GAUGAAGAACGUAGCGAAAUGCGAUAAGUAAUGUGAAUUGCAGAAUUCAGUGAAUCAUCGAAUCUUUGAACGCACCUUGCGCCCUUUGGCUAUUCUGAAGGGCAUGCCUGUUUGAGUAUCGUGAACACCUCAACUCUCAUGGUCUGCCAUGAUGAGCUUGGACUUUGGGGGUCUUGCUGGCCUACUGUCAGCUCCUCUCAAAUGAAUCAGCUUACCAGUGUUUGGUGGCACCACAGGUGUGAUAACUAUCUACGCUUGUGGUUUUCUGCCAGGUAACCUCCAGUGAUGGAGGUUCGCUGGAGCUCACAAAUGUCUCUCCUCAGCGAGGACAGCUUUUUGAACGUUUGAUCUCACAUCAGGUAGGACUACCCGCUGAACUUAAGCAUAUCAAUACGCGGAGGA